UACGUAGGGGGCAAGCGUUGUCCGGAAUCAUUGGGCGUAAAGAGCGUGUAGGCGGCUCGGUAAGUCUGCUGUGAAAGUCCAGGGCUCAACCCUGGAAUGCCGGUGGAAACUGUCGGGCUCGAGUCCGGAAGAGGCGAGUGGAAUUCCUGGUGUAGCGGUGAAAUGCGCAGAUAUCAGGAGGAACACCAAUGGCGAAGGCAGCUCGCUGGGACGGUACUGACGCUGAGACGCGAAAGCGUGGGGAGCAAACAGG
rnacentral:rRNA from 1 species